rnacentral:rRNA from 1 species
AGAGUUUGAUCCUGGCUCAGAGCGAACGCUGGCGGCAGGCCUAACACAUGCAAGUCGAACGGACCCUUCGGGGUUAGUGGCGGACGGGUGAGUAACACGUGGGAACGUGCCUUUAGGUUCGGAAUAGCUCCUGGAAACGGGUGGUAAUGCCGAAUGUGCCCUUCGGGGGAAAGAUUUAUCGCCUUUAGAGCGGCCCGCGUCUGAUUAGCUAGUUGGUGAGGUAAUGGCUCACCAAGGCGACGAUCAGUAGCUGGUCUGAGAGGAUGACCAGCCACACUGGGACUGAGACACGGCCCAGACUCCUACGGGAGGCAGCAGUGGGGAAUAUUGGACAAUGGGCGAAAGCCUGAUCCAGCCAUGCCGCGUGUAGGAUGAAGGCCUUCGGGUUGUAAAGCUCUUUCAGCUGGGAAGAUAAUGACGGUACCAGCAGAAGAAGCCCCGGCUAACUCCGUGCCAGCAGCCGCGGUAAUUACCGCGGCUGCUGGCACUGAGCCAGGAUCAAACUCUA